rnacentral:misc_RNA from 1 species
GGUACCUAUACAUAACAUACCUGUACAAUACGUGAAGUUGGAAGAAUUAAAAAAAAGAAACUGGCAACACUGAUCAAAUAUGGCGUGAUUUAGUAAUCAUCUUAAAAACGAAAAACAAAUGUGCAUAUUCUGGGCUACUUACCGAUGCUGGGAGACCAACCCCAAAUAUCCAAUGCAGGCUUCCGUUUCCACACCGACCGCAAGGCGAAGAGUACCCAUAAUUUCAAGGACUUUAUCUACAACGUCAGGAUGAAGAUGUUCCACGGUUCCACUGUACUUCUCUCUGACAACCCGACGCCAAUCUUCAAAUGUUUUGUGCGCCUCAUAGAACGCCUCAAACUCCAUGAUGGCCUCAGAUCUAGCGCUUACUACGGGGAAAUAAAAAAAAUAAUCACAGGGUUCAUGAAUUACUUUACAUUCACGAUAGAUGACGUAAUAAAAAAAAUAGAUAAAUACCUUCAUUUCUUGGAUAACAAACUUUUUGUGAAACUGAUAAAUGACACGAUAACUAUUUAUGAGCAAAACCAGGCUGCUUUCCUCAAAGAGUAUCUUCCGCUGAACAAUGAAGUAGAGAAAUUUAAAUACCAACAAGUCAUAGACGGACAGGCCAAGUUCUUGGAGGAACUCAGGCAGACAAGAGAUGCUUGGGAGUUCAGACAAGACAGAUUGCACGAGUUUGCAAAGGAAUAUUUCGAGGAGUCUCUUAAGAAAGUUAAUUACCUGUGCACCUUUGCACAUACAUAUCUUUCAGUGAUGUUAGCUGACCGACUUUACGAAAUAGCAGUGAGCGUGGAAGAGACGGUAGACCGCAUGAAUACAAACAUGCGCAAAUACAAUGAACAGUGUAACGAAAAGAUGAACACACUCAUACACAAUCUCUAUGAGAAGAAUAAGGAACAUUUGCAAAUAUAUAGACGACAUAAGAAGCGAUCCGUCGAUACUGCUGAAGUAACCCGAAGUAUAGAUGUGCUGAGGGACAAGAUAGAGCAGUACGGUAACGAAGAGACUAUUGCUCGAUUGGAGCUAGAAACUCGAUAUUGGAAUAAAAGACUAAAGGACUUCAAUGAGAUCGCUACCAUUCUGACUAAAAUACGCUCCGAACUCGACCAUCUGGAAACAGAUAUAGAGAAAUAUAACUCUAUUAGGUCGAUGGAAUUACCGAGUGCUAAGACCGUGUGUUUUGAACUAAUUGGUGAGAAUUUGAGAGAGAGGAUAGCGUAUCUUCAUGCAAAACAAUUGGAGAUGUCCAAAACGCUUAUAACUUUCUUCUGUGUAAGGGGAACUGAUCGUAUCCUAUACACGGACAGCGUUGGCUCGUACUAUUGUGACGAGUUCAACCAUCAGAACUACAUCACCAACUUCGGCUUGAAGUUCUUCCACGUCAAUUGUUACGGAGAAUUUUCUGAGAAUUUAGAAACCGAGCCUUACUACUUCGACGAAAAUGGCCGUUACAUUCUCCGUAACGGCGAGAAGUUCCACCAAGUUGCACCGUGCACCAGCGAGUACAAGUUAGGCGAAGAUGGCUUGUUCAAGAAGGUUACCAAAGAUUGUGGACAUUCGGAGAAAGUUAACCCUGACUGUCGCCUGGAGAUCAAGGAUCUGACUGACGUUGUUAUCUUGCCUAAGAACACUGACCUCAUUGAUAUGAGUGAUGAUUUGAAUCAACCCAUACAGAAUUACGUGAGCUAAGGAGGUUAGCUGACCAAUACCGUAAGAAGUUCUACAAUGAAAGACGAGAUAAAGCUGCCGAGGAGAGGAAGACUUGGAAGGAGAAGAACUUGCAUCGUCGCAAGCCGGACGUAUACGAGGACUCGGCAGAACUGGCGCAGUUCUCGCAGCAGGCCACAGCUUCACAAUUCAUUAAUAACAUGCAAUUCUA